GACGAACGCUGGCGGCGUGCUUAAAACAUGCAAGUCGAACGAGGCCUAUGGCCUAGUGGCGAACGGCGGAGUAAUACAUAAGCAACCUGCCCCGAAGACCGGGAUAGCCCUCCGAAAGAGGGAUUAAUACCGGAUGUGUCCCUCAGGAGGCAUCUCUUGAGGAGUAAAACGACGUAAGCGGCUUUGGGUGGGGCUUGUGGUCUAUCACCUUGUUGGUGGGGUAACGGCCUACCAAGGGUUCGACGGANAGCUGGUCUGAGAGGACGAUCAGCCCGACUGGGACUGAGACACGGCCCAGACUCCUACGGGAGGGCAGCAGUUGGGAAUCUUGCACAAUGGGGGCAACCCUGAUGCAGCGACGCCGCGUGGAGGACGAAGUCUCUCGGGAUGUAAACUCCUUUUGCCAGGAAAGAUAAUGACGGUACCUGGUGAAU
rnacentral:rRNA from 1 species